rnacentral:misc_RNA from 1 species
GAUGAAGAACGUAGCGAAAUGCGAUAAGUAAUGUGAAUUGCGGAAUUCAGUGAAUCAUCGAAUCUUUGAACGCACAUUGCGCCCGCCAGUAUUCUGGCGGGCAUGCCUGUCUGAGCGUCAUUUCAACCCUCAUGCCCCUAGGGCGUGGUGUUGGGGAUCGGCCAAAGCCCGCGAGGGACGGCCGGCCCCUAAAUCUAGUGGCGGACCCGUCGUGGCCUCCUCUGCGAAGUAGUGAUAUUCCGCAUCGGAGAGCGAUGAGCCCCUGCCGUUAAACCCCCAACUUUCCAAGGUUGACCUCAGAUCAGGUAGGAAUACCCGCUGAACUUAAGCAUAUCAAUAAGCGGAGGA